CAGCCGCCGCGGUAAUACGAAGGGGGCUAGCGUUGCUCGGAAUGACUGGGCGUAAAGGGCGCGUAGGCGGUUUAUACAGUCAGAUGUGAAAUUCCUGGGCUCAACCUGGGGACUGCAUUUGAUACGUAUGGACUUGAGUGGAGAAGAGGGUCGUGGAAUUUCCAGUGUAGAGGUGAAAUUCGUAGAUAUUGGAAAGAACACCGGUGGCGAAGGCGGCGACCUGGUCUUUAACUGACGCUGAGGCGCGAAAGCGUGGGGAGCAAACAGGAUUAGAGACCCGGGUAGUCCCUGUCUCUUAUAC
rnacentral:rRNA from 1 species